rnacentral:rRNA from 1 species
AUUGAACGCUGGCGGCAGGCCUAACACAUGCAAGUCGAACGAGUGGCGGACGGGUGAGUAAUGCUUGGGAAUCUGGCUUAUGGAGGGGGAUAACUACGGGAAACUGUAGCUAAUACCGCGUACCAUAGGAUGAGCCCAAGUGGGAUUAGGUAGUUGGUGGGGUAACGGCUCACCAAGCCGACGAUCCCUAGCUGGUCUGAGAGGAUGACCAGCCACACUGGGACUGAGACACGGCCCAGACUCCUACGGGAGGCAGCAGUGGGGAAUAUUGCACAAUGGGCGCAAGCCUGAUGCAGCCAUGCCGCGUGUAUGAAGAAGGCCUUCGGGUUGUAAAGUACUUUCAGUCGGGAGGCGUUACCGACAGAAGAAGCACCGGCUAACUCCGUGCCAGCAGCCGCGGUAAUUC